rnacentral:rRNA from 1 species
UGCAUCCUACGGGACGCAGCAGUGGGGGAUAUUGCACAAUGGGGGGAACCCUGAUGCAGCGACGCCGCGUGGGUGAAGAAGCGCCUCGGCGCGUAAAGCCCUGUCAGCAGGGAAGAAAAUGACGGUACCUGAAGAAGAAGCCCCGGCUAACUACGUGCCAGCAGCCGCGGUAAUACUUAGGGGGCAAGCGUUAUCCGGAUUUACUGGGUGUAAGGGGGGCGCAGACGGCGAUGCAAGCCAGGAGUGAAAGCCCGGGGCCCAACCCCGGGACUGCUCUUGGAACUGCGUGGCUGGAGGGCAGGAGG